GUGUCUUCUAUGUGCAUUCUGGUAAACUACUACAGAAUUUUGGAUGGGCACUUUUGUUGUUACCAAAAGCAUAAGGUGGCCCUUACACCUCACAAAAGGUGAUUGUGCCCUAAACUCACACUUUCAUCCCUGAAUGCCAGAAACAUAGCUUCGUAGAAGUCCAUGCAAUCUUUGCUCCUGUAAAUAGUUUCGUUGCGCAUAUGCUUGAAUAUUGCUUAGCAU
rnacentral:misc_RNA from 1 species